rfam:Salmo salar isolate Sally breed double haploid chromosome ssa01, whole genome shotgun sequence.
UCCCCUGUGGCUCAGCUGGUAGAGCAUGGUGUUUGCAAUGGCAGGGUUGUGGGUUCGAUUCCCACGGGGGAC